rnacentral:rRNA from 1 species
CUACGGGCGGCUCCAGUGGGGAAUAUUGCGCAAUGGGCGAAAGCCUGACGCAGCGACGCCGCGUGGAGGAUGAAGGUCUUCGGAUUGUAAACUUCUGUUAGGUGGGAAGAAAGGCAUAGUCAUAAUACGGCUAUGAAAUGACGGUACCAUCAGAGAAAGCACUGGCUAAACUCGUGCCAGCAGCCGCGGUAAUACGAGUGGUGCAAGCGUUAUUCGGUGUGAUUGGGCGUAAAGGGUGUGUAGGCGGCAGAUUAAGUCAGUUGUUAAAUUCCUCGGCCUAACCGAGGGCCAGCAGCUGAUACUGGUUUGCUAGAGGAUGGAAGAGAGAAGUGGAAUUCUCGGAGUAGCGGUAAGAUGCGUAGAUCUCGAGAGGAACACCGAUGGCGAAGGCAGCUUCUUGGUCCAUUUCUGACGCUGAGGCACGAAAGCGUGGGUAGCAAACAGGAUUAGAUACCCGAGUAGUC